rnacentral:rRNA from 1 species
UACGUAGGGUGCUAGCGUUGUCCGGAAUUAUUGGGCGUAAAGAGCUCGUAGGUGGCCUGUCGCGUCGGCUGUGAAAACUCGGGGCUCAACUCCGAGCUUGCAGUCGAUACGGGCAGGCUAGAGUUCGGCAGGGGAGACUGGAAUUCCUGGUGUAGCGGUGAAAUGCGCAGAUAUCAGGAGGAACACCGGUGGCGAAGGCGGGUCUCUGGGCCGAUACUGACACUGAGGAGCGAAAGCGUGGGGAGCGAACAGG